AAAAAAAAAAAAAAAUCCAUGGAAUGGGUUCUUUUGAUCUUCUAAGUGAAUGGUAAUGGAAUACUAUAAUAAUUUUAAAACAAAAGUGGAAAGAUGGAAUGUGUAGUGAAAUGCAUUACUCAAAGAAUGAGUAUAGAAAAUUGGCGUUUUGCUACAAGCUUUGGUGCUUCGUAAUCACAACCAAGAAUAGAACAAUAAGGAAGUCAGGAUUAGCGGCUGAAAAUGACUUUUGACUAUUCUACUUCAUCAAAGUGAAAAACUAAGAGAGCAUAUCCCACAUCUUGUCAUGUUAAUAUGAAUUAUAUUUUCUAUGGGUUUUGCAUCGCCCUUACAAAGCUUUUGACUAAAUUAACUCUGUAGAACCUCCUUUUAUGGGCAGGGGAUCCAGAAAAUUUGUUGUACCCAAGUUUUUGGACAAAUUUAAAGUGAAUAAAUCACAUUAGCAUUAAUGGUGAAACUAUCAUCAUUGUGCUUUUAAAGAUUAAUUGAAUUUAAAAUUGUAGUUCAUAGUCUAGGCUAAGGCCAUUCAAGAAGAUAUUUGCAUAAUGGUAUCACAUAUGUGGACAAG
rnacentral:misc_RNA from 1 species